UGGGGAAUAUUGGACAAUGGGCGAAAGCCUGAUCCAGCCAUGCCGCGUGUGUGAAGAAGGUCUUCGGAUUGUAAAGCACUUUAAGUUGGGAGGAAGGGCAGUAAGCGAAUACCUUGCUGUUUUGACGUUACCGACAGAAUAAGCACCGGCUAACUCUGUGCCAGCAACCGCGGUAAUACAGAGGGUGCAAGCGUUAAUCGGAAUUACUGGGCGUAAAGCGCGCGUAGGUGGUUCGUUAAGUUGAAUGUGAAAGCCCCGGGCUCAACCUGGGAACUGCAUCCAAAACUGGCGAGCUAGAGUAGGGCAGAGGGUGGUGGAAUUUCCUGUGUAGCGGAGAAAUGCGUAGAUAUAGGAAGGAACACCAGUGGCGAAGGCGACCACCUGGGCUCAUACUGACACUGAGGUGCGAAAGCGUGGGGAGCAAACAGG
rnacentral:rRNA from 1 species